GGACUCGGAUUGAAACCUAGUGAUUUCCGAGUUAGUGGCGGACGGGUGAGUAACGCGUGGAUAACCUGCCGUAUGCAGGGGGAUAACAGUUGGAAACAGCUGCUAAUACCGCGUAAGCGCACAAUACCGCAUGGUACGGUGUGAAAAGAUUUAUCGGCAUACGAUGGAUCCGCGUCCGAUUAGCCAGUUGGCGGGGUAACGGCCCACCAAAGCGACGAUCGGUAGCCGGCCUGAGAGGGCGGACGGCCACAUUGGGACUGAGACACGGCCCAAACUCCUACGGGAGGCAGCAGUGGGGAAUAUUGCACAAUGGGGGAAACCCUGAUGCAGCGACGCCGCGUGAGUGAAGAAGUAUCUCGGUAUGUAAAGCUCUAUCAGCAGGGAAGAAAAUGACGGUACCUGACUAAGAAGCCCCGGCUAACUACGUGCCAGCAGCCGCGGUAAUACGUAGGGGGCAAGCGUUAUCCGGAUUUACUGGGUGUAAAGGGAGCGUAGACGGCGCUGCAAGUCCGGAGUGAAAGCCCAUGGCUUAACCAUGGUACUGCUCUGGAAACUGUGGAGCUUGAGUGCGGGAGGGGCAGGCGGAAUUCCUAGUGUAGCGGUGAAAUGC
rnacentral:rRNA from 1 species